GCAGUGGUGGCUCAGUGGUUAAAGGCUCUGGGUUACUGAUUAGAAGUUCAGGAGUUCAAGCCUCCACUGCUGUG